ACAGUAGUGCCGUGUCCCAUCCCAUUUACUCCCCCAUAUCUCCACUUCCCAUCUCAUUAAGUAAUCAACCUCCAAUCUUAACCUCUAUCGCAAAUCUCUAUUUGAUACUAAAAUAUAAUUGCAGGAUGCACAUAUCCUUAGAGUAAUUAAAUAUAUGCAAACGGAUACAAAAGCAUAGAGUGAUUUCGUUCAAUCAGCAAUGGCAGGUCUUCAACCAUGAAGAGGUACAUGAAGGUGGAAACAAAUUCAAGAAUAACAUUGCUAGAUGAGUGAAGCUGCAUUAGCCAAUGAGGAAGCAACAUACUUUUUUCUUUUUAAUUUAUCAUGUU